rnacentral:antisense_RNA from 1 species
GUUGGUUUUUCCUCAAGAUUGACUAACAUCCGAAGCCCUGACUAUCGCAAGUAGUUGGGGCUUCAACA